rnacentral:rRNA from 1 species
UACGUAGGGUGCGAGCGUUGUCCGGAAUUAUUGGGCGUAAAGAGCUCGUAGGCGGUUUGUCGCGUCGAAUGUGAAAAUCCGGGGCUCAACUCCGGACUUGCAGUGGGUACGGGCAGGCUAGAGUGUGGUAGGGGAGACGUGGAAUUCCUGGUGUAGCGGUGGAAUGCGCAGAUAUCAGGAGGAACACCGAUGGCGAAGGCAGGUCUCUGGGCCACUACUGACGCUGAGAAGCGAAAGCAUGGGGAGCGAACAGG